UCUAAGGGGGGAAUAACAUUCUGAAAAGAAUGCUAAUACCGCAUAACAUAUAUUUAUCGCAUGGUAGAUAUAUCAAAGAUUUAUCGCUUAGAGAUGGACUCGCGUCCGAUUAGUUAGUUGGUGAGGUAACGGCUCACCAAGACCGCGAUCGGUAGCCGGACUGAGAGGUUGAACGGCCACAUUGGGACUGAGACACGGCCCAGACUCCUACGGGAGGCAGCAGUGGGGGAUAUUGCGCAAUGGGGGAAACCCUGACGCAGCAACGCCGCGUGAAGGAUGAAGGUCUUCGGAUUGUAAACUUCUUUUAUUAAGGACGAAGAAAGUGACGGUACUUAAUGAAUAAGCUCCGGCUAACCACGUGCCAGCAGCCGCGGUAAUACGUAGGGAGCAAGCGUUGUCCGGAUUUACUGGGUGUAAAGGGUGCGUAGGCGGCUUUGCAAGUCAGAUGUGAAAUCUAUGGGCUCAACCCAUAGCCUGCAUUUGAAACUGCAGAGCUUGAGUGA
rnacentral:rRNA from 1 species